rnacentral:siRNA from 1 species
AGGGUACAACUGGUAUAUCACAUU